CGACCAAUUUACCUGCUCCGAUCCACCUGAAAAGGGACCAUGCAACGAAACCAUUACCCGUUUCUACUUCAAUGUCCAAACCAAGACCUGCCAGGAAUUCGUCUACGGCGGCUGCCAGGGCAACGUGAAUAACUAUGAGACUAACGAAGAGUGCAGAGUCAGCUGUGAAUUGCGUCCGAGACCUUUCUGCUACCUGCCGAAAAAGCGAGGUGCAUGUUUCAGCAAUUACCCUCGCUAUUUCUACAACGCCACCAGUGAAAACUGUGAACAGUUCGCCUACAGUGGCUGCAGGGGCAACGCAAACAACUUCGUUGAGAUCGACGAAUGCACCCGCAUGUGCUCAAAGUACCUGUAAGAGUGAAAGAAGAGAAGCAGAAGCCAUUUUUACGAACGACAUGAAUUUCGGCACUUUCAGUGGACCUACUGUCACUCGGUAAUUUGAUGCGCCAAAAUUCUUCAAGAAAUAAAAAUUGCAUAGGCAUUAUUGUAUCUACAAGCGGCAGUUUUAAUAAAGAACAGAUAAUUUUCACAA